GUACUGAUGAAGAGUCCCAAACUAAGACGAAACGACUGUUCAGUAC
rnacentral:hammerhead_ribozyme from 1 species